UACGAAGGGGGCUAGCGUUGCUCGGAAUCACUGGGCGUAAAGGGUGCGUAGGCGGGUCUUUAAGUCAGGGGUGAAAUCCUGGAGCUCAACUCCAGAACUGCCUUUGAUACUGAGGAUCUUGAGUUCGGGAGAGGUGAGUGGAACUGCGAGUGUAGAGGUGAAAUUCGUAGAUAUUCGCAAGAACACCAGUGGCGAAGGCGGCUCACUGGCCCGAUACUGACGCUGAGGCACGAAAGCGUGGGGAGCAAAUAGG
rnacentral:rRNA from 1 species